GACCUCAGUCCCAGGUUUGUGGAUGGCAUUGAAACAGACAGUGGUAGUAGUUUGGGCCAGAAGUUUGACUUCAGCCCCUGUGUGACCCAGAGCAUCCCAUCCAGCUCUAGUCCAGGAAUCCAGGAGGAUGCAGAGACCGUGCAGACUGUUACUAAACUGAAAGAAGAGGUGAGUGACACCCGGCAGCACCAAUGAGGAAU